ACGUAGGGUGCGAGCGUUAAUCGGAAUUACUGGGCGUAAAGCGUGCGCAGGCGGUUCUCCAAGUCCGUUGUGAAAGCCCCGGGCUCAACCUGGGAAUGGCAGUGGAAACUAGGGGACUGGAAUCUGGCAGAGGGGGGUGGAAUGCCGCGUGUAGCAGUGAAAUGCGUAGAUAUGCGGAGGAACACCGAUGGCGAAGGCAAUCCCCUGGGCCUGCACUGACGCUCAUGCACGAAAGCGUGGGGAGCAAACAGGA
rnacentral:rRNA from 1 species